AUACUUGAGUUAAAAAUGCACAAGUUGGGAAUCAUUUAAUUCAUAUCAAAUAAGGAUAUCUGUAUGUAACUUUGGAUCUGAGAAAAGGGAGAAACUACCACAAAAUGAUGCAUCUGCAUGUUGUACUAUAGCCCUUAUGAAAUCUUUUUCAUUAUGAUUAUAUUUAGUAAAAGACUUGAAUGUGUGCAGUGUUAUGAUCCAACAGCUGCUAUUGCCUGCAAUUCCACAAGCAAUUCCCGCAAAAUAUGUCUUUUACAACAGAAUCAUUUCAUUGAAUUACUAAUCAAUACAACUUGGUGUCAGACCAUACAUAAUAGAAAUAAUCUACUGUUUAAGAAUUUCUCUUCAAAUAGCAGCUCAGCUGCUGGCAAUAUCAAACUUAGAACUUAUAAAAUCUGGAAGAAGUAACAAAGCUUGGAGCUGUCUGGCAGUGCUUUUAUGAUUCAUUGCUACUAAGACUCUCAACUUCCAGUCAUCAAUUUGUGAAGGAGGCUCUGCCCUGAAAACUUUAAAUGACUAAUGGCAAUAGUCCUGCUGUCAUUUUCUGUUGCUGAGACCUUCCCCAUUCUCCAAGCAUCCAGGGACCCCAGUCUGAAAAACAGAGCCCAGACGAUCUCUGUGAUGUUGCUCAGUUUCUACUAUUUCAAUGUUAAUGUAUAAGCUUAUCUACUGAACUGGACUUUCCCAAUUCAGGAAAUGAUGCAAGUUAAUUUCUGUUCAUACUCAGAAAUAUGAUACCUUGGAAAAGCAUACUUUCUGGACCUGACCUGAUUACUUACAUCUGGCUCAAAAUACAGGUCUUUCCAGGUACUUCACUACAUAGGAAAAACUGCAAGUGCAGAAUCUGAAACUUCCACGUCUUAAUGAGGAUAAAACGGGAAAAAAAAAACUACUUCCAAGGUCAGUAUUAACCUAAUGCUUCUGCAGUCAGACUGCAUGGCCUGUGUGUGAGGAAAAAAUGUAGAUGAUGCUCCCUAUUGUGGUGGGACCAGAGCAGGCAGGUGUAAUAGUAAAACAGAAGCAUGAUGAUUUUUCCAGUCUGCUGUCAGGGGUAGUUUCAGAAGGGAGUGGGGCUGGCUGGCAUGAAUACCUUGUCUAUUGGCCCGUGCUGCCUCCCAGUGGGCACCAACUUCUCUUUCGGGGGGAAAAGGGUUUUUUGUAAAUGCCCAAUACAGAAACCACUGCCCUCAGACAACUAAUGGGGGAAUUCACUGACGGCAACACUUCUGCUGUCUAAAACCAAACUCUUGGGUUUUGUACAGUCUACAGCACUCUGUGAUGAUCUCGGAUGCAUGGCUCAUCCAUGGGUUUCUGCAGAACAUAAGCCUCCAUUUAAAAGCAGACAAAA